AUUGAACGCUGGCGGCAGGCCUAACACAUGCAAGUCGAGCGAGCGGCGGACGGGUGAGUAAUGUAUGGGGUCUGCCCGAUAGAGGGGGGUAACUACUGGAAACGGUAGCUAAUAACGCAUACUAUCGGAUAACCCAUAUGGGAUUAGCUAGUUGGUGAGGUAAUGGCUCACCAAGGCGACGAUCCCUAGCUGGUCUGAGAGGAUGAUCAGCCACACUGGGACUGAGAAACGGCCCAGACUCCUACGGAGGCAGCAGUGGGGAAUAUUGCACAAUGGGCGAAAGCCUGAUGCAGCCAUGCGGCGUGGAGGAAGAAGGCCCUAGGGUUGUAAAGUACGUUCAGUGGGGAGGCGGUACCGACAGAAGAAGCACCGGCUAACUCCGUGCCAGCAGCCGCGGUAAUUC
rnacentral:rRNA from 1 species